CAGUCAUACCAACGGGAAAUCAACCUUUUGAGCUUGAUUUCGUGGGUUUUGAAGAGUUUUAAAGCCUUCGGAUUCGCGAGAUUGGGAUCUCUCGGUGUACUUUCUCGUACGGUUAGUCAACAUCGGUUUUGAAUGUCAUAAAAUGACUGGAGGAAUGUAGCUUCGAUCUCGUAUUGAAGUGUUAUAGCCUUUGGUAGAUGUGAUGUUUGAGACCGAGGAUUGCAACGGAUACCCUUCAGGGCUAUUCGUCUGAUCUCUGAUACGUUGCCUUGAUGUUGAAAGCUUGCUUAUGAUGUUAGGGUAUUACGGUCAAAAGGUUAGAACGAAUUACA
rnacentral:rRNA from 1 species